AUACGUAGGGGGCGAGCGUUGUCCGGAAUGAUUGGGCGUAAAGGGCGCGUAGGCGGCCCGGUAAGUCUGGAGUGAAAGUCCUGUUUUUAAGAUGGGAAUUGCUUUGGAUACUGUCGGGCUUGAGUGCAGGAGAGGUAAGUGGAAUUCCCAGUGUAGCGGUGAAAUGCGUAGAGAUUGGGAGGAACACCAGUGGCGAAGGCGACUUACUGGACUGUAACUGACGCUGAGGCGCGAAAGUGUGGGGAGCAAACAGGAUUAGAUACCCUGGUAGUCCACACUGUAAACGAUGAAUGCUAGGUGUAGGGGGUAGCGACCCCUUCUGUGCCGCAGUCAACGCAAUAAGCAUUCCGCGUGGGGAGUACCGCCGCAAGGUUGAAACUCAAAUGAAUUGACGGGG
rnacentral:rRNA from 1 species